rnacentral:rRNA from 1 species
ACCGAUAGCAAACAAGUACGGUGAGGGAAAGAUSAAAAGCACUUUGGAAAGAGAGUUAAACAGUACGUGAAAUUGCUGAAAGGGAAAYGCUUGAAGUCAGUCGCGUCUCCCGGGACUCAGCCGUGCCCCAUCGGGCACGGUGUACUUCCUGGGUGUGAYGGGCCAGCAUYGAUUUCGGUCGUCGGAGAAAGGCCUUGGGAAUGUGGCACCUUCGGGUGUGUUAUAGCCCUGGGUCGCAUGYGACGGUUGGGAUCGAGGACCGCAGCACRUUCCUCCUUCCUUCACGGGAAUGGGGGCUCRGGGUUUGCCCAYGCAAACYUUGCUUAGGAUGCUUGGCGUAAUGGCUUUAAGCRACCCRUCUUGAAACACGGACCAAGGAGUCCAACAUGCCUGCGAGUGUUUGGGUGGAAAACCCGGAYGYGGAAUGAAAGUGAAAGGUUGGAACCUCUGUCGUGAAGGGCACCGAYGCCCGGACCAGACCUCUUGUGAUGGUUCCGAGGUAGAGCAUGCAUGCUGGGACCCRAAAGAUGGUGAACUAUGCCUGAGUAGGGCRAAGCCAGAGGAAACUCUGGUGGAGGCUYGUAGYAAUUCUGACRUGCAAAUCGAUCAUCGAACUUGGGUAUAGGGGCG